rfam:Escherichia hermannii NBRC 105704 DNA, contig: EH10570401.
AAGUAGAACAGUAUAUGGGGAUGUUUCCUGGACAUUCAAUGUCAGGUAUACAGGAAAAAUAAAAGGGGGACAAAAUCCCCCUUAUAAUUUUUAACU